rnacentral:rRNA from 1 species
ACGCUGGCGGCGUGCCUAAUACAUGCAAGUUGAGCGCUGAAGGUUUGGGUACUUGUACCGACUGGAUGAGCAGCGAACGGGUGAGUAACGCGUGGGGAAUCUGCCUUUGAGCGGGGGACAACAUUUGGAAACGAAUGCUAAUACCGCAUAAAAACUUUAAACACAAGUUUUAAGUUUGAAAGAUGCAAUUGCAUCACUCAAAGAUGAUCCCGCGUUGUAUUAGCUAGUUGGUGAGGUAAAGGCUCACCAAGGCGAUGAUACAUAGCCGACCUGAGAGGGUGAUCGGCCACAUUGGGACUGAGACACGGCCCAAACUCCUACGGGAGGCAGCAGUAGGGAAUCUUCGGCAAUGGACGAAAGUCUGACCGAGCAACGCCGCGUGAGUGAAGAAGGUUUUCGGAUCGUAAAACUCUGUUGGUAGAGAAGAACGUUAGUGAGAGUGGAAAGCUCAUCAAGUGACGGUAACUACCCAGAAAGGGACGGCUAACUACGUG